AUGCUUAUUAGCAGGAGCAUUGGCUUCAGCUGCAUUCGGAUCAGCUCCCCAAACCUUAGAACCAUUGGCGUGCGUGUUGGAUACCGACACCAGUUAGUGAAAAUCAUGAUUGAGGAUGCCCCUUGUCUUGAAAGGUUGCUCCAACUUGACCUACUUAGGGAAUUGCAUAUAUUGUUAAUAUCAGCGCCCAAACUGGAGACCUUGGGUUGCCUUCCUUACCAUCAACAUCACUACCACUACCACGACUUUCAGGGAUUGCCUACUCUGUUCCCAACCGUGGUACACACUGUCAAGACUUUAUCUAUCUUUGUUUAUGCUUCUAACGUGGAUAUGGUCAUUGAUCUCAUGAGUUGCUUUCCCUGCUUGGAGAAGUUGUAUAUCCAGCAAAUUCAGUCGAUGGGAAAGAAUUUGUGGCGUCGUAAACACAAGAGUCACAUCAGAUGCCUUGACAUCCGUCUCAAGACAAUAGUGUUGGAAAAUUAUCAAGGCGUCAUGUCAGAUGUUAACUUUGCCACGUUCUUUGUGUUGAAUGCUAAAAUGUUAGAGUUAUUUAGAUUUGAGACUCGAGGCCUCUGCGGUAAAGGGUUCAUUCAGAGGCAGCAUCGUUUGCUUCAGCUUGGGAAAAGGGCAUCUAGAGGUGCUCGGUUUGUUUUCAAAAACAAUACAUGUCUCCGCAACCUUGAGGACAUCAAGCAUGUGCGAGAUUUGUCUGUAGCUCAUCCCUUUGAAUGCUGA
rnacentral:rRNA from 1 species